rnacentral:rRNA from 1 species
GAUGAACGCUAGCUGGAGGCUUAAUACAUGCAAGUCGAGCGGGAUUGGGUAGCAAUACCCAUGAGAGCGGCGCACGGGUGAGUAACGCGUACACGACCUACCUCUAACAGGGGAUAGCCCUGGGAAACUGGGAUUAAUACCGCAUAUAAUUCUGAAUAAUAAAGGUUUGGAAUGAAAGCUGAGGCGGUUAGAGAUGGGUGUGCGUCUGAUUGGCUAGUUGGUGGGGUAACGGCCUACCAAGGCGAUGAUCAGUAGGGGGCGUGAGAGCGUGGUCCCCCACACGGGUACUGAGACACGGACCCGACUCCUACGGGAGGCAGCAGUAAGGAAUAUUGGUCAAUGGGCGAAAGCCUGAACCAGCCAUCCAGCGUGCAGGAAGAAGGCCCUAUGGGUUGUAAACUGCUUUUAUCAGGGAAGAAACCUCUGGAUUUACUCCGGAGCUGACGGUACCUGAAGAAUAAGCACCGGCUAACUCCGUGCCAGCCGCCGCCGUAAAAC